ACGGGAGGCAGCAGUGGGGGAUAUUGCACAAUGGGGGAAAGCCUGACCCAGCAACGCCGCGUGAAGGAAGAAGGUCUUCGGAUUGUAAACUUCUUUUAUGAGGGACGAAGGACGUGACGGUACCUCAUGAAUAAGCCACGGCUAACUACGUGCCAGCAGCCGCGGUAAUACGUAGGUGGCAAGCGUUAUCCGGAUUUACUGGGUGUAAAGGGCGCGUAGGCGGGGGUGCAAGUCAGAUGUGAAAUCUAUGGGCUCAACUCAUAAACUGCAUUUGAAACUGUAUCUCUUGAGUGCUGGAGAGGUAGAUGGAAUUCCUUGUGUAGCGGUGAAGUGCGUAGAUAUAAGGAAGAACACCAGUGGCGAAGGCGAUCUACUGGACAGUAACUGACGCUGAGGCGCGAGAGCGUGGGGAGCAAACAGGAUUAGAUACCCUGGUA
rnacentral:rRNA from 1 species